ensembl:lncRNA
GUAAUAUCGUGUGGUUUGAAGGGCAUCAGGCCUGCCAGCCAAAACCUCCCCUGGCAGCCUACCUGAAAUUCCAGCCAAGGAUCAUUAGUGUUGCUCCUUAAAAUAACUUUGUUGUUUUGACUCAAUUCUUCUUGCCCCCACUCCUACCUUUUCCUAUUGGAAUAAUCAUUUCCCUACAUGAUUAUUGAGAACUCAAGAUUUCGUAAAUUUCAGCAGUUGUGUUAUAGCAGAACAGAUGGCGCUUGCUUGAAAUUUCUCUCACCUGAAAUUUUGUUUAUAUCCAGAUAUGAUGGAAGAGAAAACAGGAGAGCAGAGGUCGCCAACCCUCUGGACCAUGGACCAUGAGAUGCAACCAAAAUGAGGUUAUGGAGUAAACUGGACAUAAGCAACACACUUCAAGUGUCACUGUAUCCCAUCACUCCCAGAUGGGAUUGUCUGGUUGCAGGAAAACAAGCUCAGGGCUCCCACUGAUUCUGCAUUAUGAGGCCUUUUCUGGAGAAGAAUGUAGAACAACUAGCAAACUUUAAAAAAUGUAAAUAUAUAACAUGUCUCAAAGCAUGGAGACAGGUUAUGGAAUGCACACCUCCCCCAAAGAGAGCCUGAUGGUCAACGAAGCGGAGCUGUGGAAGCCGAGCCAUAAUUGCACUCCGGAGAGUAAAAGACACUGUGUUGCCUCCUCAGCAGAAAUUCACCUCCCUGUAGGAAAAUCUGAUAAAUUUCCCAGUUUCCCACAGAGGGGAUGACAGAGAAUUUAAUGAGAAACACAUUGGAACUGGACCUGUCACUGUGUGAUUAUGCAUUCACUAAUCUCUCUGUAGGGUACAGAAAAACACGGACUUCACUGAAAGAGUUUAUCUGCGAAAAGGAGGAGGGGCAAGGGAAGCAUCAAGAAACAAAUUACCAAAAAGUAAUGUCUUCACUCUCCCACUGAUACCUACUGACAUCCCACUGGACUGCUGGUUUGGCCUGCAAACUGCCAAAAAAAAAAAAAAAAAAGGAGGGGAAUUUGCACUGUCACCUAUUUUUAUGAUUGGGGAUGAAAUUGAACUUUCAUACGGUAACUAAAUUUAUUGAUAGUUCAAUGCAGCUUGUGAGUGCCUGAUAUUUUUAGUCUGGGCUUGGGAUUUGUGUUUGAGAAAUCCAUGUACAGUGAGGGAGGCAGCCGGUAUUCCAUUUCAUAUCUUGCAGGAAUUUCUCUUAACCAUCAUCAUCUUCAUCAAAUAAAUCUUAUUCAGCACCUUUAUCCAUUCUAUAAGCAUUCUGGAGCACCUAACAUAUUUAAGGAACCUAUAAUUAUGUAGCUAGUGCCUUGAAUAAGUAGAAUGUCCAAUAGCCUCCACAAAAUGUUAAAGUCAUGGGAACACAUUAUUCAAAAUUGCUAUCACCUAAGAACAUUUCUUAUUUUCUUUUUAUUAGCCUGAAUUUGGGUUGGCCAGCAUGCAAGGAGAGCAGCUAUAUUCUCUACAUAAGUUCAAAAGCAAUGAAUACGUUUAUUCACCUCCGCCUGGAACAUACUGAAUGAGUAUUGAGCAAAUAAAGAAACAUUUCACUUGCUGAGUGCCUCAGCUAAGCAGGAUCUCAGAAAAUACUAAAUUAAUUGGAUAAUAAGGGAAAGGCGAUGGAAAGUUAUGUCAUGAGCUAUACCUAUUUGAAGGACUGGUGUCAAGAUAAGAUCAUUCAUAUUUCUUCAUGAAUUUCUAGAAGUCUUCAUGAAGAAGGUGGCAUUUUGGUCAAAACAUAGAUAUUCAAAAAUUACAUAUUUAAUUAAGAUCUUGAGGUAUUUAUUAUGAACAAUGUUGCUACUCUGACCAUUCCUGACCAAUUAAUACAAAUUUGCAAAAUUCCUCACAAAAUGGUAAGCCAGGGAUUGAUCCCUAUAUUUAAAAUCUCUUAAUCCAAUGGCAUACUCAAUUUUUUUCUUAAUGUAAGACAAGGCCUUUAAAAAAUAACAGCGCAUUACUUCUUCAAUGAUCCCUUUCACAUGGCUGUCCAGUUUCAUCUGGACAGACUUUAAGUUCCACCUGAAGAGGACCAUGUCUUCUUUUUGGUACCUCAACAGUUUAAGGCUCACAUAAUCAUUGAUGACAAAAUUGGAAAUGGCGUUCAAGUUCCUAUGGUGGAAUAAGGCUAGAGAGUGACUUUGGAUAAAUAAAUAUGUGUCAGUCAGGACAAAAGAAGAUUUGAAAUAAAAGUAUGUAUGAGCUAUUG